rnacentral:piRNA from 1 species
GAUGGAUGGAUGGAUGGAUGGAAUGA